rnacentral:lncRNA from 1 species
AUCUUCAUUUAUACUUCAUAUUUACAUGAUGGCUAACUUCAUUAUUUGUUGUGCCAUACAAUUGGUUUGUUUCUGAAGAUGCUUUUAUCUUCAUUUACACCAACACUACUUUUCCAAAAUUGUCUGUUAUAUUGGAUUUAUUUUCAUUUGAACUUUGUCAUUUUGUCCAUGAAUUUUCUAGAAGUGUUGUGAUAGAGAUGUGGUAAUGAAAACAGUAGUUAAUCGUAUUGGAUUUGUAACAUAUGCACAUUGUAACGUAUGAAAUAUUACUUGUAACUCGUGAAUUGUUACCUGUGACUCGUAGCAUAAACUGUGGCUGUAAAUUUGAUCCAUGACUUUUAAAAAAUGACAUUUCACCUGUUAAUAUUGAUAUUUGACCCAUUUAUAUUGAUUUGUGACAUAUACAAAAUGACUGUGAUUUGUGACUCAAGCCUGUGACCCAAGCCUGUGACCAGUGAAUUGUGACUAGUAACAUAUGCAAUUUUAAUAAUGACAUGCGACUUUAAUAAAUUGUGUAUUCAAUGAAAGAUUAUUCAAUUGAAAUUUACUAUUGAUCUGAAACGUUGAAUUCAUCUUGUGACUUAAAAAUUCAAAACUUCUGAAUAGGUGUUUGUAUUCAAAAAAUAUAUGUUUGUGACCAUCUCAGUUUAAACUGUUAUUAUUUGUGACCAAGCUUGUGUUAUUUGUGACCAAGCUUGUUCCAUUGUGACAUUCUUGAUCAGGUCUGUCAUAAUUGUGAUAUUAUGUAAUUGAGUCAUUGUUAAUUUGGUAACAUACAGGGACAAUUAAGAUAAAUUUGAUCACAGAUAAUUACAAUGAAAAUAGACUUGGUUACAACUCGUCACAAUUAACAUAAAU